GUUUAAAUAGCUCAGUUGGUUAAAGCACAGUGCUGAUGACCCCAAGGUUGCAGGUUCGAUCCCUGUAAAGGACA